UCUCUUCGCCUCUUGUACCGAUUUAACAUUUGGACGUCACAAAGAAACACGGGGGACCGUUGUCCUUUUGCCGAUAUUCUUAAAAUGGUUCUCCUCUCCUUUCUCUCUCACGCGGGAAUCCGCUUCGGGCUCAUCGAAACCCGUGUGGCAUGACUCGCGUAGAAAGAUUGCGGCAGGAUUAAAUGGAAGACUGACUAAAAUAUCUUUGCGGGAGUACACACCGAAUGAAACUCGUCGGUUUCGCCUGCAGCAGCGCGGAUAACUUACCGAUCGUCUACCCACACCGUGCAGGUAGGUACGUAACCUAAGAUCCGCCGACAAUGGACACCCGGACCCCCGUGCUAUUCAAACGAUUUUCUCGUGAUCGGUCAAUUCUCUUACGCGUGACCCCCUCCCGUGUUCGUGUUUAUCUUGCAUUGAUGCAAAGAGACGCGCAAUGGCAUUACACUUCCGCUGGCGUUGUCUCGCUGCUUUCCUUUGAAGAAACGCCGUCUCUUGUCGGAACGUCUCCUCCCUAUCUCUUCGGAUACUCUUUCGUGGUAGCUUCACUCGUGUGCACGACUGUGUUCACCGCAGUCGCCUCGCUCGCACGAAGGAUUCGCGCAUGAGACGGAACGAACGUGUGAGUGGCUUGAAUGAUAACCGCGCGUGUUGUCUCAAUGCACGACCAAUACAAUCGGCUUAAUUGAUACGUCCGUCGAUUUGUUCUAAGAGCACGGCCCGACGUCUGAACAAGGAGAUUGCUCAUACCCGUUUUACGAUCUUCGCUUUUUCAAUCGAAUGAAACAACAAACCUUUUAAUUCGAACCAAGUGAAACUUUUUCCAAUUCCUUUUCUUCACAAGACGAAAUACAGGACGUAAUAUUAUUUGUAAUUCAAUACGACUACUUAAUAAGCUAAAGGUGUCUAAAUAAAACAGUGUUAUGCACACACCGAAUAUAAAAAGCAAUAUGUGUAUACCUUGCGAUGGUUGCGCAAUUCAAUUACCGAGAUAAACGUUUCGAUUGAACAGCAACGUAAACCCUUCAACUGAUCCUCUGUGUCAUGUUUUACGCAAGACGUAGAACGGUCGACGCGACGAAAUUUCUAACAGCCGAUCUGCCCCGCAGGCCAAUAGAUCGAUCGAUACGCCCGGCCAGCCACCGAAAACAAACGACAGGCGGCUCUAAAUUCGAUUCGUUUGAGAUCACAGAAUCCAUCCGCGGUACAGUGCGUGUACGCGACGGAGUGUGUAACGGGCCACUGGCUGGUGGAAUUAGUUUCUUUUUUUGAGGCAGGUCACUGACACCGAACGGCGAUGGAUUGACGGCGGCGGGGUCAAGUUCUACGUGCGCUGUCGACAGAGAGCUCUCCGCGUUUAAAGGUAUCGCCGGGCAUUCCUUGCGGGAUAUCGCGUUACUUACGGCACCACGAUCAAUCGACCGAACUCAGUCUUUGGCUAUGCAACGAACGAUGAGAGUCGUAAAUAUCGUUGCGAAAGGCGCGAACGGCGUUGCCCGUGUUUAAUCGUAACUAUAUAUGUUUACCGAGACAGCCAGGAGACGUGAAAAGUUCAAACAAAGCCUAUUGUAAAACCCUAAAGAACAUGAUUUCUCAGAUAAACUAUGUCUGUGGUGAAAGUAUUGCCAUCAGGAGCGUGGAGCUGUAAAUUCUAGAUGGCAUGUUACGGAGAAAUCCAGACCAUUGGAUUGCAGUUUCAGAAAUAAUGAACAAGUACCUCCGAACCUUUCACGAACAUCAUCCUCGUAAACUUCGUCGAAGUCGGCGCUACUGCCUGGAUCGUACUCUCCUUCGAAAGUGAAUGUUCCCGUAUCGCUUUGGGUGCACCCUUCGGUAGAAAUGCAAGGUUCUGUGAACCUGGCCGCUCUCAUAAUUCCAUCGACCAUGUUUACCUCGCAGUAACAUUUACCGAAGCUAUCCGGACAACUGGAAAAGUUCACACCUUUCGUCAUGGGCAAGGAAUUCAAGGUAACUCCCUCAAAGAUGUUCUGGCUCACCAAAAUGAUCCCGGCCCGAUGCAAUCUAUGGCAGGCUUGCCUCUGCGACAUA